CUUCAGGUCUGGCCACACGGUCUCUGACAGGCUCUCUCUUUUGUGUGGGGUGAGUUACCGAGCUACAGGAAGGAAGGGAACACAGGUGUGUCGGUAGCCAGCUUGAGGCUGGUUUUCUGGAUCCAGAUAGAUCCAAUCUUGCUCUGCCAAGAAGCUGCCUCCCUCAGGUCACAGGCAACGGCAGAGAGAGACCCACCUCACCCCGGCUUUCCGCACUCUGGUCAGACUCAACUUGAACCUCGGCUUAAGAACAUCUACCGUAAUAGCUAAAAGUGAGACAGAUGCCACGGGAAGGUGGGGAAACUGAGGCACGGAGCUGUUCACCAAGAUCCCCAAGACCUGGGUCUUGGCAGAACCAAGGUGUAACGAAGAGCAUCCUAUCAGGCAGACCAUGGCCGAUGUCAUCGCAGCAGCAGGCUGGCUGGCGGUCACACAGCGGCCACUGGGCAUGGCACGGUCUUCACCUUCCUUCUCCCCUUCCUUGGAACCACCAGCAUUGUUAGCCACCACAGGAGUCCGCAGAGUGUAUCAGAACAC